AUUGAACGCUGGCGGCAGGCCUAACACAUGCAAGUCGAGCGGAUGAUGGGUGCUUGCUCCUGGAUGCAGCGGCGGACGGGUGAGUAAUGCCUAGGAAUCUGCCUGGUAGUGGGGGACAACGUUUCGAAAGGAACGCUAAUACCGCAUACGUCCUAUGGGAGAAGGCAGUGGACCUUCGGUCCUUGAGCUAUCAGUUGAGCCUGGGUCGGAUUAGCUAGUAGGUGAGGUAAAGGCUCACCUAGGCGACGAUCCGUAACUGGGCUGAGAGGAUGAUCAGUCACACUGGAGCUGAGACACGGUCCAGAAUCCUAAGGGAGGCAGCAGUGGGGAAUAUUGGGGAAUGGGCGAAAGCCUGAUCCAGCCAUGCCGCGUGUGUGAAGAAGGUCUUCGGAUUGUAAAGCACUUUGAGUUGGGAGGAAGGGCAGUAAGUUAAUACCUUGCUGUUUUGACGUUACCGACAGAAUAAGCACCGGCUAACUUCGAGCCAGCCGCCGCAGUAAUAC
rnacentral:rRNA from 1 species